UAAACUGAAGCCAAAUGUCAAGGCGCUUAGCUGUUAACUAAGAGGUAAGUGGGAUAAAAACCUUCCAGUUUAG
rnacentral:tRNA from 1 species